rnacentral:misc_RNA from 1 species
GAUGAAGAACGCAGCGAAAUGCGAUAAGUAAUGCGAAUUGCAGAAUUUCCGUGAGUCAUCGAAUCUUUGAACGCACAUUGCGCCCCCUGGCAUUCCGGGGGGCAUGCCUGUCCGAGCGUCAUUUCUGCCCUCCAGCCCGGCUGGGUGUUGGGCGCUGUCCCCCCGGGGACACGCCCCAAAGGCAGUGGCGGCGCCGCGUCGGGUCCUCGAGCGUAUGGGGCUUUGUCACCCGCUCGGGACGGACUCGUCGGCGCUGGUCUUCCUCCAGGCGACCCUUCGGGGCUCGUCUUCCUUCGGUUGACCUCGGAUCAGGUAGGGUUACCCGCUGAACUUAAGCAUAUCAAUAAGCGGAGGA